UACGAAGGGGGGCUAGCGUUGCUCGGAAUCACUGGGCGUAAAGCGCACGUAGGCGGAUUGCUAAGUCAGGGGUGAAAUCCUGGAGCUCAACUCCAGAACUGCCUUUGAUACUGGCGACCUUGAGUCCGGGAGAGGUGAGUGGAACUGCGAGUGUAGAGGUGAAAUUCGUAGAUAUUCGCAAGAACACCAGUGGCGAAGGCGGCUCACUGGCCCGAUACUGACGCUGAGGCACGAAAGCGUGGGGAGCAAACAGGG
rnacentral:rRNA from 1 species